rnacentral:rRNA from 1 species
UCCUGGCUCAGGAUGAACGCUGGCGGCGUGCCUAAUACAUGCAAGUCGAGCGAACGGACGAGAAGCUUGCUUCUCUGAUGUUAGCGGCGGACGGGUGAGUAACACGUGGAUAACCUACCUAUAAGACUGGGAUAACUUCGGGAAACCGGAGCUAAUACCGGAUAAUAUUUUGAACCGCAUGGUUCAAAAGUGAAAGACGGUCUUGCUGUCACUUAUAGAUGGAUCCGCGCUGCAUUAGCUAGUUGGUAAGGUAACGGCUUACCAAGGCAACGAUGCAUAGCCGACCUGAGAGGGUGAUCGGCCACACUGGAACUGAGACACGGUCCAGACUCCUACGGGAGGCAGCAGUAGGGAAUCUUCCGCAAUGGGCGAAAGCCUGACGGAGCAACGCCGCGUGAGUGAUGAAGGUCUUCGGAUCGUAAAACUCUGUUAUUAGGGAAGAACAUAUGUGUAAGUAACUGUGCACAUCUUGACGGUACCUAAUCAGAAAGCCACGGCUAACUACGUGCCAGCAGCCGCGGUAAUACGUAGGUGGCAAGCGUUAUCCGGAAUUAUUGGGCGUAAAGCGCGCGUAGGCGGUUUUUUAAGUCUGAUGUGAAAGCCCACGGCUCAACCGUGGAGGGUCAUUGGAAACUGGAAAACUUGAGUGCAGAAGAGGAAAGUGGAAUUCCAUGUGUAGCGGUGAAAUGCGCAGAGAUAUGGAGGAACACCAGUGGCGAAGGCGACUUUCUGGUCUGUAACUGACGCUGAUGUGCGAAAGCGUGGGGAUCAAACAGGAUUAGAUACCCUGGUAGUCCACGCCGUAAACGAUGAGUGCUAAGUGUUAGGGGGUUUCCGCCCCUUAGUGCUGCAGCUAACGCAUUAAGCACUCCGCCUGGGGAGUACGACCGCAAGGUUGAAACUCAAAGGAAUUGACGGGGACCCGCACAAGCGGUGGAGCAUGUGGUUUAAUUCGAAGCAACGCGAAGAACCUUACCAAAUCUUGACAUCCUUUGACAACUCUAGAGAUAGAGCCUUCCCCUUCGGGGGACAAAGUGACAGGUGGUGCAUGGUUGUCGUCAGCUCGUGUCGUGAGAUGUUGGGUUAAGUCCCGCAACGAGCGCAACCCUUAAGCUUAGUUGCCAUCAUUAAGUUGGGCACUCUAAGUUGACUGCCGGUGACAAACCGGAGGAAGGUGGGGAUGACGUCAAAUCAUCAUGCCCCUUAUGAUUUGGGCUACACACGUGCUACAAUGGACAAUACAAAGGGCAGCGAAACCGCGAGGUCAAGCAAAUCCCAUAAAGUUGUUCUCAGUUCGGAUUGUAGUCUGCAACUCGACUACAUGAAGCUGGAAUCGCUAGUAAUCGUAGAUCAUCAUGCUACGGUGAAUACGUUCCCGGGUCUUGUACACACCGCCCGUCACACCACGAGAGUUUGUAACACCCGAAGCCGGUGGAGUAACCUUUUAGGAGCUAGCCGUCGAAGGUGGGACAAAUGAUUGGGGUGAAGUCGUAACAAGGUAGCCGUAUCGGAAGGUGCGGCUGGAUCACCU